rnacentral:rRNA from 1 species
AUUGAACGCUAGCGGGAUGCUUUACACAUGCAAGUCGAACGAGUGGCGGACUGGUGAGUAAUAUAUCGGAACAUGCCUCGUAUCGGGGGCUAACUACGCGAAAGAUUGGCUAAUACCGCUUACUAUUGGCGCGGCCGAUAUCGGAUUAGCUAGUUGGUGGGGUAAAGGCUCACAAAGGCAACGAUCCGUAGCUGGUUUGAGAGGACGACCAGACACACUGGGACGGAGACACGGCCCAGACUCCUACGGGAGGCAGCAGUGGGGAAUUGUGGACAAUGGGGGAAACCCUGAUCCAGCCAUGCCGCGUGUAUGAGAAGGCCUGCGGAUUGUAAAGUACUGUUGGCAGAGAAGCGGUAUCUGCAGAAUAAGCACCGGCUAACUACGUGCCAGCAGCCGCGGUAAUUC